rnacentral:rRNA from 1 species
GCAAGUCGAGCGCUACCUUCAGGUGGAGCGGCGGAUGGGUUAGUAACGCGUGGGAACAUAACCUUUUCUACGGAAUAGCCUCGGGAAACUGAGAGUAAUACCGUAUACGACCUUUGGGGGAAAGAUUUAUCGGAGAAGGAUUGGCCCGCGUUAGAUUAGAUAGUUGGUGGGGUAAUGGCCUACCAAGUCUACGAUCUAUAGCUGGUUUGAGAGGAUGAUC